AGAUUGAACGCUGGCGGCAUGCUUUACACAUGCAAGUCGAACGGCAGCGCGGGGCAACCUGGCGGCGAGUGGCGAACGGGUGAGUAAUAUAUCGGAACGUACCCAAGAGUGGGGGAUAACGUAGCGAAAGUUACGCUAAUACCGCAUACGAUCUAAGGAUGAAAGCAGGGGACCGCAAGGCCUUGUGCUCCUGGAGCGGCCGAUAUCUGAUUAGCUAGUUGGUAGGGUAAAGGCCUACCAAGGCUACGAUCAGUAGCUGGUCUGAGAGGACGACCAGCCACACUGGAACUGAGACACGGUCCAGACUCCUACGGGAGCAGCAGUGGGAAUUUUGGACAAGUGGCGCAAGCCUGAUCCAGCAAUGCCGCGUGAGUGAAGAAGGCCUU
rnacentral:rRNA from 1 species